rnacentral:sRNA from 1 species
AAAAGCUAAAAAAAAUAUAAGGGUAUCUCACUACGUAUGACACUUAUCAAGUUUGUUAGAGCAUAUGGGGCACAUAUGUGGGAGUAUGCACUUUUUCAUGUUUAUUUCACUGCACUUUUUCAUGUUUAUUUCACUGUUUCAAAACAAUCAAUACAAUUAUAUCCUUACUCUCGUAACCUCAGGUCAAAUAGCAUGGUUAAGAAAUGCCUUUGACGAAUGAUUUAGCUGUGCAGCAAUAUAUAGUACUUUGAACUGCUCUAAUGGGAGUGGAUUGUGGAUUUUCCUUUCUUCUGUUUCUUAAUCUUGACAUUAGAUUUCCACUCCACCCCAUCUUCGUCUAGUACCUUAUAAGUCGUUCCAGCAAUGUAGAAGGUGACUUUCUUCUCUUCAAGGUACCUCACAAAACGUUUAGCAAACUCAAUGGGUGUUGAAUGGCUU